AGUUUGCCCCAUACAAUUUUAAACAUCUGUUGGAUGCAGACUUGGACGAAUAACCAAGACCAAGCUGAACAAAUCUGAUGCUGGCUAUGAACUAUUAGGACUACGUUCUCUUGAUAAUACAUGAUUGUUAAAACUUACAAACCAUUAAGUGCUUCCAAUUUUGUUUCUUUUUUUUUGUUACUAUAUGUACCACUAAUACACAUAUAUCAAUGAUGAAAUCUGAACUUGAAAUUUCAAUGGAGCGAUUUGUUUUGAUUUUCAGGUUAUUUCUAUUUUUUGUUGACACUCAGUUUCAUGACUUCCUAGCAAUGAAAAAAAGGGUACUUUAUUUUAUGUAUCUUAUUUUAUAUAGUAAAGCAAUGAUCUACUGCUGAUUUUCUGUACAUUUCAACAUAUUAUUACCAGUUUGACUAAAUAUACCAAAUCACAAUUAGCUGUUAAUACAGGGUUUCUUAUGACCACAGAGUUUUUCUGUUGAUGAAGGGAAUCCUGUUGGUUUCUGUGUGGUCUAGCUGGUUUAGCUGGAGGUCAACUGAGUGAAGUGUUGAAAUGACUGGAUAAACCUUUGUGGUGAAUUAUAUCAAUCUGUGAUUAUACACUGUAUUACACAUGUAUUAACCAAGCUGAUAUUGAAUAAAGAAAUGAGAAAGAUUG
rnacentral:misc_RNA from 1 species